rnacentral:rRNA from 1 species
CCAAUAGCGUAUAUUAAAGUUGUUGCAGUUAAAAAGCUCGUAGUUGAAUUUCGGGGUUAGUAGGUUGGUCAUGCCUCUGGUAUGUACUGGUCUCACUGAUUCCUCCUUCCUGAUGAACCUUAAUGCCAUUAAUUUGGUGUUUUGGGGAAUUUGGACUGUUACUUUGAAAAAAUUAGAGUGUUUAAAGCAAGCUAACGCUUGAAUACAUUAGCAUGGAAUAAUGAAAUAGGACGUUCGAUCCUAUUUUGUUGGUUUCUAGGAUUGACGUAAUGAUUAAUAGGGAUAGUUGGGGGCAUUAGUAUUCAAUUGCCAGAGGUGAAAUUCUUGGAUUUAUUGAAGACUAACUACUGCGAAAGCAUUUGCCAAGGAUGUUUUCAUUAAUCAAGAACGAAAGUUAGGGGAUCGAAGACGAUCAGAUACCGUCGUAGUCUUAACCAUAAACUAUGCCGACUAGGGAUCGGAUGAUGUUAAUUUUUUAAUGACUCAUUCGGCGCCUUACG